rnacentral:pre_miRNA from 1 species
CAAGUACUUCCUCCGUCCGAAAAUACUUGUCAUCAAAAUGGAUAAAAAAUGAUGUAUCUAGAACUAAAAUACGUCUAGAUACAUUCUCUUUUAUUCGUUUUGAUAACAAGUAUUUCCGGACGGAGUGAGUAGUAC